GAAGUCAUAUGCUUGUCUCAAAGAUUAAGCCAUGCAUGUCUAAGUAUAAAUGCUUUAUACUGUGAAACUGCGAAUGGCUCAUUAAAUCAGUUAGAGUUUUUUUGAUAAAUUUUUGCUACUUGGAUACCUGUAGUAAAUCUAGAGCUAAUACAUGCCUCUAAACCCGACUUUUUGAAGGGUGGUGUUUAUUAGAAUUUUCAAACCAAUGAUGAAGUUUACUUCAUGUUUGAUGACUCAUGAUAAAUUUACGAAUCGCAGACUUUAUGUUGGCGAUGUAUCAAUUAAAUUUCUGCACUAUUAACUUUUGAUGUAAGUGUAUUGUACUUACAUGGCUUUGAUGGUUAACGGAGGAUUAGGGUUUGAUUCCGGAGAGGGAGCCUGAGAAAUGGCUACCACAUCCAAGGAAGGCAGCAGGCGCGCAAAUUACCCAAUCUCAAUACGAGGAGGUAGUGACAAUAAAUAACAAUGCAGGGCUUUUUAAGUCUUGCAAUUGGAAUGAGUACUAUUUAAAACCCUUAACGAGAAACAAUUGGAGGGCAAGUCUGGUGCCAGCAGCCGCGGUAAUUCCAGCUCCAAUAGCGUAUAUUCAUGUUGUUGCAGUUGAAAAGCUCGUAGUUGGAUUUGAGGUUUAGGGAUAUGGUCUCAUCUUCGGAUGUUGUACUGUAUUUCUUUAUCUUUUACAUGAGAAGGUAUUCUGUUCUUUAUUGGAUGGUUUAUUGACUCAUGUCUUUUACUUUGAAAAAAUUAGAGUGUUCAAAGCAGGCUUAUGCCUUGAAUACAUUAGCAUGGAAUAAUAAGAUAGGACUUUUGUCUAUUUUGUUGGUUUUUAUGGACUGAAGUAAUGAUUAAUAGGGGCAGUUGGGGACAUUAAUAUUUAAUUGUCAGAGGUGAAAUUCUUGGAUUUAUUAAAGAUUAACUACUGCGAAAGCAUUUGUCAAGGAUGUUUUCAUUAAUCAAGAACGAAAGUUGGGGGAUCGAAGACGAUCAGAUACCGUCGUAGUCUCAACCAUAAACUAUGCCGACGAGAAAUUAGUGAAUGUUUAUUCAUUGACUUCAUUAGCUUCUUCCGAGAAAUCAAAGUUUUUGGGUUCUGGGGGGAGUAUGGUCGCAAGGCUGAAACUUAAAGGAAUUGACGGAAGGGCACCACCAGGAGUGGAGCCUGCGGCUUAAUUUGACCCAACACGGGAAAACUUACCAGGUCCAGACAUAAGAAGGAUUGACAGAUUGAGAGCUCUUUCUUGAUUUUAUGGGUGGUGGUGCAUGGCCGUUCUUAGUUGGUGGAGUGAUUUGUCUGCUUAAUUGCGAUAACGAACGAGAC
rnacentral:rRNA from 1 species